AGUGAACGCUGGCGGUAGGCCUAACACAUGCAAGUCGAACGGCAGCACAGUAAGAGCUUGCUCUUACGGGUGGCGAGUGGCGGACGGGUGAGGAAUACAUCGGAAUCUACUUUUUCGUGGGGGAUAACGUAGGGAAACUUACGCUAAUACCGCAUACGACCUACGGGUGAAAGCAGGGGAUCGUCGGACCUUGCGCGAGUGAAUGAGCCGAUGUCGGAUUCGCUAGGUGGCGGGGUAAAGGCCCACCAAGGCGACGAUCCGUAGCUGGUCUGAGAGGAUGAGCAGCCACACUGGAACUGAGACACGGUCCAGACUCCUACGGGAGGCAGCAGUGGGGCAUAUUGGACGAUGGGCGCAAGCCUAAUCCAGCCAUACCGCGUGGGUGAAGAAGGCCUUCGGGUUGUAAAGCCCUUUUGUUGGGAAAGAAAAGCAGCAGGUUAAUACCCCGCUGUUCUGACGGUACCCAAAGAAUAAGCACCGGCUAACUUCGUG
rnacentral:rRNA from 1 species